UCAAAUUCCUGCACUUGGAGCAUUGACGCCUGCUGUGACGGGCCCUUCCGAGGCAGGCAGUCCGUGGAGCGUAGCACUACCUCACGGGAGAUUCCAUCUCAUAUGACCAGACCCCAGGCAAUAAGGGCCAGAUGGAGAGAGAGGUUUCUGUUGGGCUCCCUGAACCUCCACUUGGGCCCUCAGGUUUAAGAAUGCUACAAGACCUGGCCAGUGUGGCUCAGUUGGUUGGAGUGCCAUACCAUGCACCGAAAGGUGGUGGAUUUGAUUCCCCAUCAGGGCACAUGC